rnacentral:rRNA from 1 species
UGCCUACGGGAGGCAGCAGUGAGGAAUAUUGGUCAAUGGGCGCGAGCCUGAACCAGCCAAGUCGCGUGAGGGAAGACGGUCCUAUGGAUUGUAAACCUCUUUUGUCGGGGAGCAAAAGACGCCACGUGUGGCGUUCCGAGAGUACCCGAAGAAAAAGCAUCGGCUAACUCCUUGCCAGCAGCCGCGGUAAUCCGGAGGAUGCGAGCGUUAUCCGGAUUUAUUGGGUUUAAAGGGUAGGCAGGCGGAAGUUCAAGUCAGCGGUAAAAUUUGG